GAAGGACCUAGCUGCCUGGGACCUGAGGGUGCAGGCAACUGAGCAGGGCUGGGGAAAGGGAAAGGCACCAGCUAGAAGAAAGAAAGGGGAAGACACUGAGAGGAGAUCUCCAACUGGGAACAGGGUCUUUCCCACCUUCAAUAUCAUAAGGAUCUUCGUGGGCAGUUAGGACUCCAGCACCCUUGCCAAAGAUACCUAUAGAAGAUAGCACUAUGUAGGCACUAGAUUCCAGUGUCCUAUAUAUAGGACAAUCACCUGCCUCAGUUCAUAUAUAAAUCAAGCAUUGUAAAAUAAACUCCAAGGAGGCCCCAUUUACAUGUGAAAAUCAAUAGGAAAAAACAGGUCAAUGUGGGGACGUGAAACACACGGCAAUAUGGAAAGACCAUGGGAAGACCUUGGGGCUUGCAUGCCAGGAAGGAAACGACAGGGAGUAAUCCUGACUCUGGGGACAAAAACAAUGGAUAUUGGGGUAUAAGAGAAAGGCACAAGGACCCCUCUUUACUCUGCACUUGAGGGGGUAACCAGGCAUUGCAGUUAUACCCAUGAAAAUAGGAUUUUGAAUAACCCUAGCUGAAAUGCUGCAAGAAACGGUUUAGCUUUAGACAAAGUUAGCCGGUUAAAAUUAAGUCUUAGUCUAGUAGAAGCCUGAUAUACUUGUGUUUUAUUUGUAGCCUGUUGUUCUUAUUACUCUUGGUCGCUAUCUCUUAAAUCUUUCCCUUUCUAAAUAAAUAUAUAUUUGUUUUUACUAUAA